rnacentral:rRNA from 1 species
AGCGAACGCUGGCGGCAGGCCUAACACAUGCAAGUCGAACGGAUCCUUCGGGAUUAGUGGCGGACGGGGUAGUAACACGUGGGAACGUGCCCUUUGGUUCGGAACAACUCAGGGAAACUUGAGCUAAUACCGGAUGUGCCCUUCGGGGGAAAGAUUUAUCGCCAUUGGAGCGGCCCGCGUGUGAUUAGCUAGUUGUUGAGGUAACGGCCCACCAAGGCGACGAUCAGUAGCUGGUAUGAGAGGAUGAUCAGCCACACUGGGACUGAGACACGGCCCAGACUCCUACGGGAGGCAGCAGUGGGGAAUCUUGCGCAAUGGGCGAAAGCAUGACGCAGCCAUGCCGCGUGAAUGAUGAAGGUAUUAGGAUUGUAAAAUUCUUUCAGCGGGGACGAUAAUGACGGUACCCGCAGAAGAAGCUCCGGCUAACUUCGUG